AAAAAAAAUAGGAAAAAAAGAAAUUAUAUUAGAAAAAAAAAAUAAUAAAAAGAAUAAUAGUUAAUUAAUUAAGGAUUAAAUUAUGAAUUUGUAAUUUAUGUAGUUGAAGUAAAUGAAUAGAUUUACAUGAUAUGACAAUGUUUAAAGGCAGAGUUGUAAUAUGAUAAAUUAUUAUAGUUUAAAAAAAUUAAAAGUUACACUAUAUUGAAAUUUUUGGCUCAUAUUUAAAUGUAUAAAUUAUUUAAAGUCUGGCCCUAUUAAGUUUGGUGGGAAUUGUGAGUUAGUUUAAGGGUGAGGCAUGCCAUAUACAGAUCUUGCAGUACUGCACUACAGUUACACGGAUUUUUGGGAUACAAUGAGGUAUCCUACAGUCAUAGACUCGGCUUUUGAGCCAUACAGUUAUUUGGCACUUUGUGCCCUACAGUUACAGUUUCCUUAUCUGACUUAACAGUCCCAUUUAAAUUUAUAGGGGCCAACAGAAAAAUAAUAAAUAAAUAAAAGUAUUAAGAGAAAAUAAAACCAUUUACAUGAUGAAGAAAAAGAAAAGAUUGUGAAAUGAAAAUAUGUAUAUAUGUAAAAUAAUAAUAUGAUUUAGCUUAUGUCAAAUGAUUUGUUAUAUAGUUAUUUGUUGUUUGUUUGUUUGAAUUACUGUUAUUACAUGAAUUUUGAUUUAAAUUUUUAUUUAUAUAAAAAAAAGUUGAGCACCACUAAGCAAUUUGCUUAGCGCGUAGGAAUUUAUUUUUCCUCGCGCAGGUUGUAGAUUCAAAGAGCAGUAGAUCAAGAUCUGCAUCAACCCAGCCAGAGUUACAUCAUCAUCUAUAUUGGGGUGAAAUUAAGUCCAUAUUUUAGGGGAAACUCUGCCGGAUUUUCA